rnacentral:rRNA from 1 species
CGGGAGGCAGCAGUAGGGAAUAUUGGGCAAUGGACGAAAGUCUGACCCAGCCAUGCCGCGUGCAGGAUGACAGCCCUCUGGGUUGUAAACUGCUUUUAUAUAGGAAGAAACCCUUGGAUGCGUCCGAGGCUGACGGUACUAUUUGAAUAAGGAUCGGCUAAUUCCGUGCCAGCAGCCGCGGUAAUACGGAAGGUCCAAGCGUUAAUCGGAAUUACUGGGCGUAAAGCGCGCGUAGGUGGUUUACUAAGUUGGGUGUGAAAGCCCCGGGCUCAACCUGGGAACUGCAUCCAAAACUGAUUCACUAGAGUACGAAAGAGGGAGGUAGAAUUCACAGUGUAGCGGUGGAAUGCGUAGAUAUUGUGAAGAAUACCAAUGGCGAAGGCAGCCUCCUGGUUCUGUACUGACACUGAGGUGCGAAAGCGUGGGUAGCGAACAGGAUUAGAUACCCUGGUAGUCCACGCCGUAAACGAUGACAACCAGCUGUUGGGAAGCAAUGCUUUUCAGUGGCGCAGCUAACGUCUUAAGUUGUCCGCCUGGGGAGUACGGCCGCAAGGUUAAAACUCAAAUGAAUUG